CAGCGGGUGCAAGUCCCGCCUCGGUAAGCGCCGGAGCGCCGAGUAGCAGACCCCAGGCGUCGGGAGAAAUCCCGGUGGCCCGAGCGGGGUGUCAAGAGCCUCUUCGGAGGGAGCCAGUCCGCGGGCCGCAACAUCA
rfam:Acidobacteria bacterium RIFCSPLOWO2_02_FTLL_68_18 rifcsplowo2_02_scaffold_1445, whole genome shotgun sequence.